AACGUACGCUGGCGGCACGCCUAACACAUGCAAGUCGAACGAAGUAGCAAUACUUAGUGGCAGACGGGUGAGUAACAUGUGGGUAUCUGCCCUUUGGCCUGGAAUAACACGAGGAAACUUGUGCUAAUACCGGAUAAGUCUUUACGGAGAAAGCUUUAUGCACCAUUGGAUGAGCCUGCACUUGAUUAGUUUGUUGGUGGGGUAAUGGCCUACCAAGACUGUGAUCAAUAGCUGAUUUGAGAGGAUGAUCAGCCACAUUGGGACUGAGACACGGCCCAAACUCCUACGGGAGGCAGCAGUGGGGAAUCUUGCACAAUGGAGGAAACUCUGAUGCAGCGAUGCCGCGUGAGUGAAGAAGGCCUUUGGGUUGUAAAGCUCUUUCGUCGGGGAAGAAAAUGACUGUACCCGAAUAAGAAGGUCCGGCUAACUUCGUGCCAGCAGCCGCGGUAAUACGAAGGGACCUAGCGUAGUUCGGAAUUACUGGGCUUAAAGAGUUCGUAGGUGGUUGAAAAAGUUAGUGGUGAAAUCCCAGAGCUUAACUCUGGAACUGCCAUUAAAACUUUUCAGCUAGAGUAUGAUAGAGGAAAGCAGAAUUUCUAGUGUAGAGGUGAAAUUCGUAGAUAUUAGAAAGAAUACCAAUUGCGAAGGCAGCUUUCUGGAUCAUUACUGACACUGAGGAACGAAAGCAUGGGUAGCGAAGAGGAUUAGAUACCCUCGUAGUCCAUGCCGUAAACGAUGUGUGUUAGACGUUGGAAAUUUAUUUUCAGUGUCGCAGGGAAACCGAUAAACACACCGCCUGGGGAGUACGACCGCAAGGUUAAAACUCAAAUGAAUUGACGGGGACCCGCACAAGUAGUGGAGCAUGUGGUUUAAUUCGAGGAUACGCGCAGAACCUUACCAACACUUGACAUGUUCGUCGCGACUCUAAGAGAUUAGAGUUUUCGGUUCGGCCGGACGAAACACAGGUGCUGCAUGGCUGUCGUCAGCUCGUGUCGUGAGAUGUUGGGUUAAGUCCCGCAACGAGCGCAACCCUCACUUUUAGUUGCCAUCAUUAAGUUGGGCACUCUGAAAGAACUGCCAGUGAUAAGCUGGAGGAAGGUGGGGAUGACGUCAAGUCCUCAUGGCCCUUACGUGUUGGGCUACACACGUGCUACAAUGGUAUCUACAACAGGAAGCAAGACUGCGAAGUUAAGCAAAUCCCUAAAAGAUACCUCAGUUCGGAUUGCACUCUGCAACUCGAGUGCAUGAAGCUGGAAUUACUAGUAAUCGUGGAUCAGCGUGCCACGGUGAAUGCGUUCCCGGGUCU
rnacentral:rRNA from 1 species